CAGGCUUAACACAUGCAAGUCGAGGGGCAGCAUUUUAGUUUGCUUGCAAACUGAAGAUGGCGACCGGCGCACGGGUGAGUAACACGUAUCCAACCUGCCGAUAACUCCGGAAUAGCCUUUCGAAAGAAAGAUUAAUACCGGAUAGCAUACGAAUAUCGCAUGAUAUUUUUAUUAAAGAAUUUCGGUUAUCGAUGGGGAUGCGUUCCAUUAGUUUGUUGGCGGGGUAACGGCCCACCAAGACUACGAUGGAUAGGGGUUCUGAGAGGAAGGUCCCCCACAUUGGAACUGAGACACGGUCCAAACUCCUACGGGAGGCAGCAGUGAGGAAUAUUGGUCAAUGGGCGAGAGCCUGAACCAGCCAAGUAGCGUGAAGGAUGAAGGCUCUAUGGGUCGUAAACUUCUUUUAUAUGGGAAUAAAAUUUUCCACGUGUGGAAUUUUGUAUGUACCAUAUGAAUAAGGAUCGGCUAACUCCGUGCCAGCAGCCGCGGUAAUACGGAGGAUCCGAGCGUUAUCCGGAUUUAUUGGGUUUAAAGGGAGCGUAGGUGGAUUGUUAAGUCAGUUGUGAAAGUUUGCGGCUCAACCGUAAAAUUGCAGUUGAAACUGGCAGUCUUGAGUACAGUAGAGGUGGGCGGAAUUCGUGGUGUAGCGGUGAAAUGCUUAGAUAUCACGAAGAACUCCGAUUGCGAAGGCAGCUCACUAGACUGUCACUGACACUGAUGCUCGAAAGUGUGGGUAUCAAACAGGAUUAGAUACCCUGGUAGUCCACACAGUAAACGAUGAAUACUCGCUGUUUGCGAUAUACAGUAAGCGGCCAGGCGAAAGCAUUAAGUAUUCCACCUGGGGAGUACGCCGGCAACGGUGAAACUCAAAGGAAUUGACGGGGGCCCGCACAAGCGGAGGAACAUGUGGUUUAAUUCGAUGAUACGCGAGGAACCUUACCCGGGCUUAAAUUGCAACAGAAUAUAUUGGAAACAGUAUAGCCGUAAGGCUGUUGUGAAGGUGCUGCAUGGUUGUCGUCAGCUCGUGCCGUGAGGUGUCGGCUUAAGUGCCAUAACGAGCGCAACCCUUAUCUUUAGUUACUAACAGGUCAUGCUGAGGACUCUAGAGAGACUGCCGUCGUAAGAUGUGAGGAAGGUGGGGAUGACGUCAAAUCAGCACGGCCCUUACGUCCGGGGCUACACACGUGUUACAAUGGGGGGUACAGAAGGCGGCUACCUGGUGACAGGAUGCUAAUCCCAAAAACCUCUCUCAGUUCGGAUCGAAGUCUGCAACCCGACUUCGUGAAGCUGGAUUCGCUAGUAAUCGCGCAUCAGCCAUGGCGCGGUGAAUACGUUCCCGGGCCUUGUACACACCGCCCGUCAAGCCAUGAAAGCCGGGGGUACCUGAAGUACGUAACCGCAAGGAGCGUCCUAGGGUAAAACUGGUAAUUGGG
rnacentral:rRNA from 1 species